rnacentral:rRNA from 1 species
UAUGCCUUCGACGGUGUAGGGAUUUACUCCCGAAGCUGUUGAAGGUCGCAGGUAAUCGGUGGCUGCAACUGUUUAUCAAAAACACAGGACUCUGCGAACACGCAAGUGGAUGUAUAGGGUCUGACUCCUGCCCGGUGCCGGAAGGUUAAUUGAUGGGGUCAGCCGCAAGGCGAAGCUCUUGAUCGAAGCCCCGGUAAACGGCGGCCGUAACGAUAACGGUCCUAAGGUAGCGAAAUUCCUUGUCGGGUAAGUUCCGACCUGCACGAAUGGAGUAAUGAUAGCCACACUGUCUCGACCCGAGACUCAGUGAAGUUGAAAUCGCUGUGAAGAUGCGGCGUUCCCGCGGCAAGACGGAAAGACCCCGUGAACCUUCACUACAGCUUUACACUGAACUUUGAACCUUUUUGUGUAGGAUAGGUGGGAGGCUAUGAAACUUGGGCGCUAGCUCAGGUGGAGCCAACCUUGAAAUACCACCCUGAAAUGUUCGGAGUUCUAACCUUGUCCCGUAAUCCGGGAUGGGGACAGUGUAUGGUGGGUAGUUUGACUGGGGCGGUCUCCUCCCAAAGAGUAACGGAGGAGUGCAAAGGUACGCUCAGCGCGGUCGGUCAUCGCGCUCUAGAGUGCAAAGGCAUAAGCGUGCUUAACUGCGAGACGGACAUGUCGAGCAGGUACGAAAGUAGGUCUUAGUGAUCCGGUGGUUCUGUAUGGAAGGGCCAUCGCUCAACGGAUAAAAGGUACUCCGGGGAUAACAGGCUUAUUCCUCCCAAGAGUCCACAUCGACGGAGGAGUUUGGCACCUCGAUGUCGGCUCAUCACAUCCUGGGGCUGUAGCAGGUCCCAAGGGUGUGGCUGUUCGCCAUUUAAAGUGGUACGCGAGCUGGGUUCAGAACGUCGUGAGACAGUUCGGUCCCUGUCUGCCGUGGGCGUUGGAAACUUGAGGGUGAGCUGUCCUUAGUACGAGAGGACCGGGAUGGACGUAUCUCUGGUGUUCCGGUUGUCACGCCAGUGGCACUGCCGGGUAGCUAUAUACGGACGGGAUAACCGCUGAAAGCAUCUAAGCGGGAAGCCCCCCCCAAGAUUAGGUUUCCCUGGGAACUCGAUUCCCCUGAGGGGCCGUCGCAGACUACGACGUUGAUAGGCUGGGUGUGUACAUGCAGUAAUGCAUUUAGCUAACCAGUACUAAUUGCCCGUGAGGCUUGACCAU